rnacentral:rRNA from 1 species
AUACGGACGGUCCGGGCGUUAUCCGGAUUUAUUGGGUUUAAAGGGAGCGUAGGUAGACAGUUAAGUCAGUUGUGAAAGUUUGCGGCUCGACCGUAAAAUUGCAGUUGAUACUGGCUGUCUUGAGUACAGUAGAGGUGGGCGGCAUUCGGGGUGUAGGGGUGAAAUGCUUAGAUAUCUCGAAGAACUCCGGUUGCGAAGGCAGCUCACUGGACUGCAACUGACACUGAUGCUCGAAAGUGUGGGUAUCAAACAGGAUUAGAUACCCUGGUAGUCCACACAGUAAACGAUGAAUACUCGCUGUUUGCGAUAUACAGUAAGCGGCCAAGCGAAAGCAUUAAGUAUUCCACCUGGGGAGUACGCCGGCAACGGUGAAACUCAAAGGAAUUGGCGGGG